rnacentral:piRNA from 1 species
GAUCGGUUUGAAGUUAAUGUGGC